rnacentral:rRNA from 1 species
GCGUGAGAGCGUGGCCCGCCUCAUCGGGACUGAGACACUGCCCGGACACCUACGGGUGGCUGCAGUAACGAAUAUUGGGCAAUGGGCGAAAGCCUGACCCAGCAAUGCCGCGUGCAGGAGGAAGCCCCUCGGGGUGUAAACUGCUGUCAGGGUUUAGCAAGCAAACCGGGUUAACAGCCCGGCGCGUUGAGCAGACCCAAAGGAAGCCUCGGCUAACUCUGUGCCAGCAGCCGCGGUAAGACAGAGGAGGCAAGCGUUGUUCGGAAUCACUGGGCUUAAAGAGGGUGUAGGCGGCUUGGUAAGUGUCGUGUGAAAGCCCCCGGCUCAACCGGGGAAUGGCAUGGCAAACUGCCUGGCUUGAGGUUGGUAGAGGUACCUGGAACUCUAGGUUGAGCGGUGAAAUGCGUAGAUAUCUAGAGGAACGCCGGUGGCGAAAGCGGGGUACUGGGCCAAUUCUGACGCUGAGACCCGAAAGCGUGGGGAGCAAACAGGAUUAGAUACCCUGGUAGUCCACGCCGUAAACGAUGCACACUAGGCGCCGGAGCCUCUGACGGUCCCGACGCCGAAGCAAAAGUGAUAAGUGUGCCGCCUGGGGAGUACGGCCGCAAGGCUAAAACUCAAAGGAAUUGACGGGGGCUCACACAAGCGGUGGAGCAUGUGGCUUAAUUCGAACCAACGCGAAGAACCUUACCCAGGUUUGACAUUCAUGGAUGCAAUUCGGGGAUAACUCGGAACGCUGCCCUUCGGGGUGAAACAUGGACAGGUGUUGCACGGCUGUCGUCAGCUCGUGCUGUGAAGUGUCGGGUUAAGUCCCUUAACGAGCGAAACCCCUGUCGUUAGUUGCUAGCAGGUAAUGCUGAGGACUCUAGCGAGACUGCCGGCGUUAAGCCGGAGGAAGGUGGGGACGACGUCAAGUCAUCGUGGCCCUUAUGCCUGGGGAUGCACACGUGCUACAAUGGCGCGUACAGCGGGAUGCAAGACCGCGAGGUGGAGCAAAUCCCUCAAAACGCGCCCCAGUUCGGAUUGUAGGCUGAAAUUCGCCUGCAUGAAGUUGGAAUCGCUAGUAAUCGCGUAUCAGCUACGACGCGGUGAAUGUGUUCCUGAGCCUUGUACACACCGCCCGUCAAGUCAUGGAAGCUGGUAGUACCCGAAGUCCGCUUAGCUAACCGGCAACGGAAGCGGCGGCCGACGGUAAGACUGGUGACUGGGACUAAGUCGGAACAAGGUA